AGAACGAACGCUGGCGGCAUGCCUAACACAUGCAAGUCGAACGCUCCUGGGGCUUCGGUCUCAGGGGAGUGGCGCACGGGUGAGUAGCGCGUGGGAACCUGCCCUGUUGUGGGGGAUAACCGAGGGAAACUUCGGCUAAUACCGCAUAAGCCGGUUGUCUUGAAAGAGAUGACCGGGAAAGAUUUAUCGCGACAGGAGGGGCCCGCGUCGGAUUAGCUAGUUGGUGGGGUAACGGCCCACCAAGGCAGUGAUCCGUAGCUGGUCUGAGAGGAUGAUCAGCCACACUGGGACUGAGACACGGCCCAGACUCCUACGGAGGCAGCAGUGGGGAAUAUUGGACAAUGGGCGCAAGCCUGAUCCAGCAAUGCCGCGUGAGUGAUGAAGGCCUUAGGGUUGUAAAGCUCUUUCGCCCGCGACGAUGAUGACGGUAGCGGGAGAAGAAGCCCCGGCUAACUUCGUGCCAGCAGCCGC
rnacentral:rRNA from 1 species